GGGCGGUUAGCUCAGUGGCAGAGCACCUGCCUUACAAGCAGGGGGUCACUGGUUCAAGUCCGGUACCGCCCACCA
rnacentral:tRNA from 1 species